GUUUGUCUCACUCCCUCAUCCACUCUCCCCCUCCUUCACCAAAUGCUUUCUCAGUGAUUAGUUACUGAGUAGAAGGGGCUCCAGUUACCAUGCCGCCUGCCAUCUCCCCUCAUUUUAUUGGAACUAAUAUCCCACCUGCGAUGAUAAGCACAUUUGGGGAGAUAAAGGCUGAUUCGAGAGACAUCAGAACGCGGUUUUCGGGUGAGAGAUGAGAGACAGCACACUUUGUCCAGAAGAAAACUGGCCUUCCAAUGAAGCCCUAUUUCCAGCCCUAACUUACCAUAUCAAGGAGGAACUUUGGCACUAAAGAAAGAACAAUAAACUUACUACCACUAUGACGAAUUUUUAGAAGCAGAAAAAAGUUGUCCUCCUUCUCUACAAAGACUUAAAGUGCAC
rnacentral:lncRNA from 1 species